rnacentral:sRNA from 1 species
GCAUUAUUUACUAAAACAUCUAAAGAACCAAAUUGGCUAACUACUUCUUUAAUCAUUGCUUUAACUUCAUCAGCAUCG